rnacentral:rRNA from 1 species
GUGCCAGCAGCCGCGGUAAUACGAAGGGGGCUAGCGUUGUUCGGAAUUACUGGGCGUAAAGCGAACGUAGGCGGUGUUCCAUGUCAGAGGUGAAAGCCUGGGGCUCAACUCCAGAAUUGCCUUUGAAACGGGAACGCUUGAGUCCGAGAGAGGGUGGCGGAAUUCCUAGUGUAGAGGUGAAAUUCGUAGAUAUUAGGAAGAACACCAGUGGCGAAGGCGGCCACCUGGCUCGGUACUGACGCUCAGGUUCGAAAGCGUGGGGAGCAAACAGGAUUAGAUACCCUGGUAGUCC